AAAAUAAUAUUUCGAAUUUGCGAGACCGGUUGAAACGUCUCUUUGGUAGAAAAUAUUGUUUCGGAUUUUUGAGACCGGCGGAGACGUCUUUUUAGUAGAAAAUAUUAUUUCGGAUUUUUGAGACCGGUUGAGACGUCUCUUUUUCAGAAAAUGU